rnacentral:misc_RNA from 1 species
UUCUGCCCCAGACAGUAGCGGCAGCCCCGAUUGAAAAACCGCUUUUUUACGGGAGUAGCAGAGCGACCGUAGGAAGCUCCUGCGACGACCUAGUAAAAAAAAGGUUUUGAGUGAGGGCUAUAGCGAAUGGCUGGAAUAGGC